GAGAAAAUUUUUAUAUUCUCACCUCUUGUUCCCAUUGGGUGAAAAAGAGUUUUUUCUCUUUGCAACUGUCAGUUUGUAUUGGUUUUAUAAAAUGGUGAAACAAAUUGAUGGGUUUGUUUCGUGGAUACAGUUAUUCACGCCACGCACGGAUGAAAUAAAAAAUGUCUAAAAUAUUCUC